AGAGUUUGAUCAUGGCUCAGGAUGAACGCUAGCUACAGGCUUAACACAUGCAAGUCGAGGGGAAACGACAUCGAAAGUUUGCUUUUGAUGGGCGUCGACCGGCGCACGGGUGAGUAGCGCGUAUCCAACCUGCCCACCACUUGGGGAUAACCUUGCGAAAGUAAGACUAAUACCCAAUGACGUCUCUAGAAGACAUCUGAAAGAGAUUAAAGACUUAUCGGUGAUGGAUGGGGAUGCGUCUGAUUAGCUUGUUGGCGGGGUAACGGCCACCAAGGCGACGAUCAGUAGGGGUUCUGAGAGGAAGGUCCCCCACAUUGGAACUGAGACACGGUCCAAACUCCUACGGGAGGCA
rnacentral:rRNA from 1 species